UACGAAGGGGGCUAGCGUUGCUCGGAAUCACUGGGCGUAAAGGGUGCGUAGGCGGGUUUUCAAGUCAGAGGUGAAAUCCUGGAGCUCAACUCCAGAACUGCCUUUAAUACUGAGAAUCUUGAGUAUGGGAGAGGUGAGUGGAACUGCGAGUGUAGAGGUGAAAUUCGUAGAUAUUCGGAGGAACACCAGUGGCGAAGGCGGCUCACUGGUCCAUUACUGACGCUGAGGUGCGAAAGCGUGGGGAGCAAACAGG
rnacentral:rRNA from 1 species